CCCUUAGAUGUCCUGGGCCGCACGCGCGUUACACUGAUGCAUUCAACGAGCUUAUAACCUUGGCCGAGAGGCCCGGGCAAUCUUGUUAACGUGCAUCGUGAUAGGGAUAGAUUAUUGAAAUUAUUAAUCUUGAACGUGGAAUUCCUAGUAAACGCAGAUCAUCAAUCUGCAUUGAUUACGUCCCUGCCCUUUGUACACACCGCCCGUCGCACCUACCGAUUGGAUGGUCCGGUGAAGCCUCGGGAUUGUGGUUCUUGCCGCUUUAUUGUGGCGUGACCGCGAGAACUUGUCUAAACCUUAUCAUCUAGAGGAAGGUGAAGUCGUAACA
rnacentral:rRNA from 1 species